CCUACGGGAGGCUGCAGUGAGGAAUAUUGGUCAAUGGGCGCGAGCCUGAACCAGCCAAGUAGCGUGAAGGAUGACUGUCCUACGGGUUGUAAACCUCUUUUAUAAAGGAAUAAAGUGAGGCACGCGUGCCUUUUUGUAUGUACCUUAUGAAUAAGCAUCGGCUAACUCCGUGCCAGCAGCCGCGGUAAUACGGAGGAUCCGAGCGUUAUCCGGAUUUAUUGGGUUUAAAGGGGGCGUAGACGGGUUGUUAAGUCAGGUGUGAAAGUUUGGGGCUCAACCGUAAAAUUGCAAUUGAUACUGGCAGCCUUGAGUACAGUUGAGGUAGGCGGAAUGCGUGGUGUAGCGGUGAAAUGCAUAGAUAUCACGAAGAACUCCGAUUGCGAAGGCAGCUUACUAA
rnacentral:rRNA from 1 species